CCUACGGGAGGCAGCAGUGAGGAAUAUUGGUCAAUGGGCGCGAGCCUGAACCAGCCAAGUAGCGUGAAGGAUGACUGCCCUACGGGUUGUAAACUUCUUUUAUAAAGGAAUAAAGUGAGGCACGUGUGCCUUUAUGUAUGUACUGUAUCAAUAAGGAUCGGCUAACUCAGUGCCAGCAGCCGCGGUAAUACGGAGGAUCCGAGCGUUAUCCGGAUUUGUUGGGUUUAAGGGGAACGUAGAUGGGUUGUUAAGUCAGCUGUGAAAUUUUGCGGCUCAACCGUAAAAUUGCAAUUGAUACUGGCAGACUUGAGUGCAGUUGAGGUAGGCGGAAUUCGUGGUGUAGCGGUGAAAUGCUUAGAUAUCACGAAGAACUCCGAUUGCGAAGGCAGCUUACUAAACUGCCACUGACAUUGAUGCUCGAAAGUGUGGGUAUCAAACAGGAUUAGAUACCCUUGUAGUG
rnacentral:rRNA from 1 species